GACGAACGCUGGCGGCGUGCUUAACACAUGCAAGUCGAACGAUGAAGCUAGAGCUUGCUCUGGUGAAUUAGUGGCGAACGGGUGAGUAACACGUGAGUAACCUGCCCCGAACUCUGGGAUAACUGCUGGAAACGGUAGCUAAUACUGGAUACGACCUACGAAGGCAUAUUCUGUAGGUGGAAAGAAUUUCGGUUCGGGAUGGACUCGCGGCCUAUCAGCUUGUUGGUGAGGUAAGGGCGCACCAAGGCGACGACGGGUAGCCGGCCUGAGAGGGUGACCGGCCACACUGGGACUGAGACACGGCCCAGACUCCUACGGGAGGCAGCAGUGGGGAAUAUUGCACAAUGGGCGCAAGCCUGAUGCAGCAACGCCGCGUGAGGGAUGACGGCCUUCGGGUUGUAAACCUCUUUUAGUAGGGAAGAAGCGAAAGUGACGGUACCUGCAGAAAAAGCACCGGCUAACUACGUGCCAGCCGCCGCCGUAA
rnacentral:rRNA from 1 species